rnacentral:lncRNA from 1 species
AUCGGUAUCAGCAGCAGCCAUGUCUUUGCUUGUUGAGAAGACCAGUUCUGGCCGGGAGUACAAGGUCAAGGACAUGUCUCAGGCGGACUUCGGCCGUCUGGAGAUCGAGCUUGCGGAGGUUGAGAUGCCAGGCCUCAUGUCUUGCAGGACUGAGUUCGGACCCCAGCAGCCAUUCAAGGGUGCCAAGAUCACUGGCUCACUCCACAUGACCAUCCAGACUGCCGUCCUUAUCGAGACCCUCACCGCCCUUGGCGCCGAGGUCCGCUGGUGCUCCUGCAAUAUCUUCUCCACCCAGGACCACGCCGCCGCUGCCAUUGCCCGCGACAGCGCCGCCGUCUUCGCCUGGAAGGGCGAGACCCUACAGGAGUACUGGUGGUGCACGGAGCGGGCCCUCGACUGGGGUCCCGGUGGCGGCCCCGAUCUCAUCGUGGACGACGGCGGCGACGCUACCUUGUUGAUCCACGAGGGGGUCAAGGCUGAGGAGGAGUACGCCAAGAGCGGCAAGUUACCGGACCCCUCCUCCACCGACAAUGCUGAGUUUCAGAUCGUUUUGACCAUUAUUAGGGACGGAUUGAAGACAGAUCCGAAGAGAUAUCACAAGAUGAAGGGGAGAUUGGUUGGUGUUUCUGAGGAGAC